CAGAAGAUAGUUUAAUAAAAAUGCUAGUUUUGGGGACUAGUGAUGAGGGGUUGAACCUUCUCUUUUGA
rnacentral:tRNA from 1 species